rnacentral:misc_RNA from 1 species
ACGAAGCCAAUUUAUUUUGGCAUUAUUCUUUCAAUUCUGUGAACUAGAAAUUUGCUUUGGGUGGAAGUUGAUUUAUCUUCAUUCACCCAACAUUUUAAACUCUUAACCUUGAAUCAAUUGUCUGACUGAUUAAAUAAAAAUUAAUCA